rnacentral:lncRNA from 1 species
AUUAACCUUGAAUGCAGCCGAUCUCCACGCUGCAACAAAUCGUCCCCUUCUAAUGUUAGACCGACUCCUCUGGCGAUAUUUUUUUUGAUGUCUUGUUGUUGACUGACAGUUACCAUGGCAACAUUUUUAAACAACCAUGGCAACAUUUUUAAACAACCCUGCUUAUUUCGCCGUUGCUCUUAUUUUCUCAGCCAGUGUUGUUUUACCAAUACCACCCAUACCACAUAUCCCAACAAUAGUGAUCCUUUCAUCUCUCAAAGCGG